rnacentral:lncRNA from 1 species
AUGUGGAUUCAUAGAUCCAUUCUGAGAAUUUUCAGGAAUGGGAGCCCUCAGGUCACAAAUCACUACCCCAUAGAAUGCCACGUGAUGAUGCAGGACCAUGAAUCAGGGCCCCUACAGCUCAGCAAAUCCUCAGUCUCCCUAAAACCAAUUGGAAAUGCACAAGAGAUCAAUAGAACAGGUGGAAGAAUUGUUCAGGCAGAGCAGUUGGGCGAGGGGUGGACAUUCAGUGAAUGGGCCACCUGAGUCCUCUGUGUUUCAACAGCCCUUAAAGACAUCACUGCAAGGCAGCAGCACAAUACAGAAACAACAUUAGAACAAGAAAGAAUAGAGGUCACUGGAGGUAUCACAGACCCCACCUUGUUGGACAGCUAAAUUGAUAAAAGGACAAAGCUAUUGCCACUCAUAAUUACAACCCUGAGUCAUUCAUAAGUAGUGAUUAUAUCAAAAUAUUAUGUGUAAAAUGGUUACAAAAAAGGAAAAAUAAGUCUAAUGGCAUUUAUACACACCGACUUCUAUUCUGUGAAAAAAAAAACAUUAUUUUACAAAAUACCUCAUGCUCUGAUUAGGUCAGACAUAUGAAUCUUUACAGUGAAAACUGGUAAUCAUAUUAGUAGAGGACAUUUAACUUUUUCAAAGUCUAUCAUCUCUUUGCAUCUUCACACUUUUCAUGUGAGAUUGCCAGGGCACAUAUUUGGUAUAAUUACCUUCACUUUAUAGAUCUGUCUCAGUAAAGACACUUAAGAUUGGCAGAGCCACUGUUAAAACCUGGGUUUCCUAAUGCACAACUCUGGGCAUUUUCCUCUGUGUUUCACCGCCCAAUAACUUCUUUGCGUGUAGACAGGGGGAUGCUAGGAAAUUAAAUGUGUAUCUAAGGACAGCUGGCUAUGCAAUACUAUGUAUGCAUUCAUUCAUUCAACAAGUAUUCAUUAAGCAUCUGAAUCAGUUAGCUAUUGCCACAAAAACACCACCCCCCGCGGUAGCUCACGCCUGUAAUCCCAGCACUUAGGGAGGCCGAGGUGGGUGGAUCACGAGGUUAAGAGAUCAAGAACAUCCUGGUCAACAUGAUGAAACCCUGUCUCUACUAAAAAUACAAAAAAUUGGCUGGGCAUGGUGGCGCGUGCCUGUAAUCCCAGCUACUCAGGAGACUGAGGCAGGAGAAUUGCCUGAACCCAGGAGGCGGAGGUUGUGGUGAGCCGAGAUCGCACCAUUGCACUCCAGCCUGGGUAACCAGAGCGAAACUCCGUCUCCAAAAACAAAACAAAACAAAACAAAAAAAAUACCCUCAAAAAAAUUACCCCCACACUACAUAGCUUUAAAGAAGUCAUUAUACUCUCACAGAUUUGUGUUUGAUGAGAGUUAACUAAUUUAGGAUGGGCUCAGCUGAGUAACUCCACUGAUCUCAGCUGGGAGUGACCUGAUCUGGCCUGGCUUGGCUGUGGUGGUUCGGCUCUGCUCCACAUGUCUCUCAUUCUCCUCCUGGGACUAGGUGAGCCCAGUCAUGCACCUCCCAUGGCAACAGCAGAUGCACAAGAAGAAAAGCAUCAUUUUCAUGUGAUUUCUAAACUUUUGUUCUGCCUUUUAAGCCUCUGGCCUGCUAACAUUCCAUUGGCCAGAGCAAGUCACAUAACCAAACUCAAAACCAAGAGGCAAGAACACAGACUUGGUCUCUUCAAUGGAACAAACUGCAAAGGAUGUGGAUAGGAAAGAGUGAAGAACUGGAACCAUUAAUGCAGCCAACAACAUCUACCAUAUUCCAAGCACUGUGCAAAGCACUGAGGAAGCAGUGCCAACCAUAAUAGAAGCUGGCCUCCUGAAGCUUACAGUCAAAGUCAAUGAAUAAAUAUCUAUAUAUAUGAAUUCCACUACAGCCUGCUACAACUGUAAUCAAAAUUUAAUAAUGAAAGUAAAUCUGCUACCCCCAUUAUAUUUUGCAUUUCCAGAAGGAAUUUGUGCUUUGAGGAGUUAUCCAUUAUUUUGAACUCUCUUCACAUUGCUUCCCUUCUAUUGUCAUACAUUAUCAAGAUGAUCUCAUAUGAUGUAUUUGUUCAAGUGAUAAUCAUAUUUAUUUAGAGAACCAAUGAAAUAGCACUUCUCUGUGGUUUUGGAUACAUGUCUGUUUGUUUUUUGAGACUGUGUCUUGCUCUUGUCACCCAGGCUGGAGUGCAAUGGCACGGUCUUGGCUCACUGCAACCUCCACCUCCCAGGUUCAAGUGAUUCUCCUGCCUCAGCCUCCUGAGGAGCUGGGAUUACAGGCGUGUGCCACCAUACCCAGCUAA